GACGUAGGUGGCGAACGUUAUCCGGAAUUAUUGGGCGUAAAGGGUGCGCAGAUGGUCUGACAAGUUAGCAGUAGCAAAUCGAGGCUCAACCUCGUGGAAACUGGUAAUACUGUCUGACUCGAGUACAGGAGAGGUUAACGGAACUCCAUGUGGAACGGUAAAAUGUGUAGAUAUAUGGAAGAACACCAAUAACGGCGAAGGCAGUUAACUAUUCUGUUACUGACAUUGAGGCACGAAAGCGUGGGGAGCAAAACGG
rnacentral:rRNA from 1 species